rnacentral:rRNA from 1 species
CAGCCGCCGCGGUAAUACCGGCGGCCCGAGUGGCGGCCACUAUUAUUGGUCUUAAAGCGUCCGUAGCCGGGUUGGUUAGUCUCCCGGGAAAUCUGGCCGCUUAACGGUCAGAAUUCCGGGAGAUACUGCCAGCCUAGGGACCGGGAGAGGCCGAGGGUAUUCCCGGAGUAGGGGUGAAAUCCUAUAAUUCCGGGAGGACCACCUGUGGCGAAGGCGCUCGGCUGGAACGGGUCCGACGGUGAGGGACGAAGGCCAGGGGAGCAAACCGGAUUAGAUACCCGGGUAGUCCUGGCUGUAAACGAUGCGGACUUUGUGUCGGACAAGCUAUGAGCUUGUCCGGUGCCGGAGGGAAACCGUUAAGUCCGCCGCCUGGGGAGUACGGCCGCAAGGCUGAAACUUAAAGGAAUUGGCGGG